rnacentral:rRNA from 1 species
CCUGGUGGUAUCGCGGGGCGGCUGCACCGGUUCCCAUUCCGAACACGGCCGUGAAACGCCCCAGCGCCAAUGGUACUCCGUCUUAAGACGCGGGAGAGUAGGUCGCUGCCAGGU